rnacentral:rRNA from 1 species
UACAGAGGUCUCGAGCGUUAGGCGGAAUCACUGGGCUUAAAGCGUGUGUAGGUGGAUGCCUAAGUACCUUGUGAAAUCCCACAGCUUAACUGUGGAACUGCUUGGUAUACUGGGUGUCUUGAGUCACUCAGGGGCGAGCGGAACAAAUGGUGGAGCGGUGAAAUGCGUAGAUAUCAUUUGGAACGCCAAUGGUGAAAACAGCUCGCUGGGGGUGUACUGACACUGAGACACGAAAGCCAGGGGAGCGAGCGGG